rnacentral:rRNA from 1 species
ACGCUAGCUACAGGCUUAACACAUGCAAGUCGAGGGGAAACGACAUUGAAGCUUGCUUCGAUGGGCGUCGACCGGCGCACGGGUGAGUAACGCGUAUCCAACCUGCCUCUGACUAAGGGAUAACCCGGCGAAAGUCGGACUAAUACCUUAUGAGGUUUUCAGCAGACAUCUAAUGAAAACGAAAGAUUUAUCGGUCAGUGAUGGGGAUGCGUCUGAUUAGCUUGUUGGCGGGGUAACGGCCCACCAAGGCAACGAUCAGUAGGGGUUCUGAGAGGAAGGUCCCCCACAUUGGAACUGAGACACGGUCCAAACUCCUACGGGAGGCAGCAGUGAGGAAUAUUGGUCAAUGGGCGAGAGCCUGAACCAGCCAAGUAGCGUGCAGGAUGACGGCCCUAUGGGUUGUAAACUGCUUUUAUGUGGGGAUAAAGUGAGCUACGUGUAGUUUAUUGCAGGUACCACAUGAAUAAGGACCGGCUAAUUCCGUGCCAGCAGCCGCGGUAAUACGGAAGGUCCAGGCGUUAUCCGGAUCUAUUGGGUUUAAAGGGAGCGUAGGCCGUGGAUUAAGCGUGUUGUGAAAUGUAGACGCUCAACGUCUGAAUUGCAGCGCGAACUGGUUCACUUGAGUAUGCACAACGUAGGUGGAAUUCGUCGUGUAGCGGUGAAAUGCUUAGAUAUGACGAAGAACUCCGAUUGCGAAGGCAGCUUACGGGAGCACAACUGACGCUGAAGCUCGAAGGUGCGGGUAUCAAACAGGAUUAGAUACCCUGGUAGUCCGCACAGUAAACGAUGGAUGCCCGUUGUUAGUUCACUUAAGAAUUAGCGACCAAGCGAAAGCAUUAAGCAUCCCACCUGGGGAGUACGCCGGCAACGGUGAAACUCAAAGGAAUUGACGGGGGCCCGCACAAGCGGA